rnacentral:rRNA from 1 species
CCUACGGGUGGCAGCAGUGGGGGAUAUUGCACAAUGGGGGGAACCCUGAUGCAGCGACGCCGCGUGUGGGAAGACGGUCCUCUGGAUUGUAAACCACUGUCGCCAGGGACGAAAAUGACGGUACCUGGGGAGGAAGCUCCGGCUAACUACGUGCGAGCAGCCGCGGUAAGACGUAGGGAGCGAGUGUUGUCCGGAAUUACUGGGUGAAAAGGGAGCGUAGGCGGGGAUGCAAGUUGGGUGUCAAAACUACCGGCUAAACUGGUAGUCGCACUCAAAACUGCAGCUCUUGAGUGAAGUAGAGGCAGGCGGAAUUCCUAGUGUAGCGGUGAAAUGCGUAGAUAUUAGGAGGAACACCAGUUGCGAAGGCGGCCUGCUGGGCUUUUACUGACGCUGAGGCUCGAAAGUGUGGGGAGCAAACAGGAUUAGAUACCCUUGUAGUC